rnacentral:rRNA from 1 species
CGGCAACAGCUCAAAUUUGAAAUCUGGCUUCGGCCCGAGUUGUAAUUUGUAGAGGAAGCUUUAGGCGCGGCACCUUCUGAGUCCCCUGGAACGGGGCGCCAAAGAGGGUGAGAGCCCCGUAUAGUUGGAUGCCUAGCCUGUGUAAAGCUCCUUCGAC